AUGGUUCACCUUAUUCAGUUUGUUGACGACGAUAUAUCUUGGAAGUUUGAGGCAAAUGAAGAGUACUCUGCGACGUCGGCUUACAUAAUUUAGUUCCUUGGAUCCAUGCCCACCGUCAUGAACAAGACCAUCUGGAAAGUUUGGGGCCCUCCCAAGGUUAAGUUCUUCUCCUGGUUGGCACUUCAAGGUAGGAUAUGGACGGCGGAUGGACUGCAGAAGAGAGGAUGAGAGAAUUGUGGCCUUUGUACCCUGUGUAAGAGGGCCAACGAGCCAACCCCUCACCUAUUCUACAAAUACUGGUUCACUGUUUGGAGGAUAAUCAAGGAUUGGUUGGGGCUUGUAGCGCUUGAGAUGAACUAAUGGGGAACCGAGCAUAACGUCGAGAGGUGGUGGACCGGCAUGUCCAGGACAAAUACCGCAAUUCGGAAGGCGAUGACUUCUCUCACCAUUCUUGUCUAUUGGGCCAUCUGGAACGAGAGGAAUGCUAGAGUUUUUAGGAAAAAUUGGCGCCACCUUUCUGCAUCCUAA
rnacentral:rRNA from 1 species